rnacentral:rRNA from 1 species
GUAGGACGCAAGCGUUAUCCGGAGUUACUGGGCGUAAAGCGCGGGCAGGCGGCCUCGCAAGUCUGAUGUGAAAGCACCAUGCUCAACAUGGUGACGCCAUUGGAAACUACGAGGCUGGAGUCUGGCAGAGGUAGGCGGAAUUCCGGGUGGAGUGGUGAAAUGCGUAGAGAUCCGGAGGAACACCAGAGGCGAAGGCGGCCUACUGGGCCAGUACUGACGCUGAGCCGCGAAAGCCAGGGGAGCGAACGGGAUUAGAAACCCCGGUAGUCCUGGCCGUAAACGAUGUGUGCUGGGUGGCGGGGGGUUACCCCUCGCUGCCGAAGCCAACGCGAUAAGCACACCGCCUGGGGAGUACGGUCGCAAGGCUAAA